rnacentral:rRNA from 1 species
GAUUUGACCAAGUAGUGGAGCAUGUGGUUUAAUCCGAUAGUCCGCGUAAAAUCUUACCAAUUCUAGUUUAUAUGUUUUAAUAUAUAAUAUAUUAAAUUAAAUUUAAAUUAAUUUUUAUUAAUUUAAUUAAAUAACAUAUAAUCAGGUGUUGCAUGGCUGUCGUCAGUUCGUGUUGUGAAAUAUUUGAUUAAUUUCAAUAACGGGCGCAAUCCUUAAAUUAUAUUUAUUAAAAUAUAAUUAAAUGUCAAUGAAAUAUUGAAGGAAGGUAAGGAUAACGACAAGUCGUUAUGGCCUUUAUGAAUUGGGCUACACAUGUGCUACAAUGAUUAUUACAAUAAGAUGCAAAAAUGUAAAUUUAAGCUAAUCUUCAAAAAUAAUCUUAGUUCAGAUUAUUCUUUGUAAUUCAAGAAUAUGAAGUUGGAAUUACUAGUAAUCGUUUAUAAGUACGAAACGGUGAAUUUGGAACCUAAUCUUGUACACACCGCCCGUCACGCCAUGGAAGCAGGG